UGAUGCUCUGAAGUUUAUGAUCA
rnacentral:siRNA from 1 species